rnacentral:rRNA from 1 species
UUACGGCUCAGUACACGUAGUCAACCUGCCCUGGAGACCAGGACAACCCCGGGAAACUGGGAUUAAUCCUGGAUAGGUCAUCUCAUCUGGAAGGAGAGAUGGCUUAAAGGGGUACGCGGGCUUCUUUCGCGCAUCUGCUCCAGGAUGGGACUGCGUCCGAUCAGGCUGUUGGCGGGGUAAUGGCCCACCAAACCUGUAACCGGUACGGGCCUUGAGAGAGGGGGCCCGGAGAUGGACACUGAGAGAAGGGUCCAGGUCCUACGGGGCGCAGCAGGCGCGAAACCUUCGCAAUGCGCGAAAGCGUGACGAGGUUAAUCCGAGUGGCUCCCGCUGAGGGGGUCUUUUGUCAGCUGUAAAUAGGCAGGCGAAUAAGGGAUAAUCAUUAA